UAAUGAUGACUACAGAGAUGGACUCUCAAGG
rnacentral:piRNA from 1 species